GGUACUCGAGUGGCGAACGGGUGAGUAACACGUGGGUGAUCUGCCCUGCACUCUGGGAUAAGCCUGGGAAACUGGGUCUAAUACCGGAUAGGACCAUGCUUUAGUGUGUGUGGUGGAAAGUUUUUCGGUGUAGGAUGAGCCCGCGGCCUAUCAGCUUGUUGGUGGGGUAAUGGCCUACCAAGCGGCGACGGGUAGCCGGACUGAGAGGUUGGUCGGCCACAUUGGGACUGAGAUACGGCCCAG
rnacentral:rRNA from 1 species